rnacentral:tRNA from 1 species
GGCAGCAUGGCCGAGGGUAAAGGGCUGGGGCUUUGGAGUCUGCCAGAUCCUGGGUUCAAAUUCUAGUGUUGCCA